rnacentral:rRNA from 1 species
CCUACGGGUGGCAGCAGUCGAGAAUCAUUCACAAUGGGGGAAACCCUGAUGGUGCGACGCCGCGUGGGGGAAUGAAGGUCUUCGGAUUGUAAACCCCUGUCAUGUGGGAGCAAAUUAAAAAGAUAGUACCACAAGAGGAAGAGACGGCUAACUAUGUGCCAGCAGCCGCGGUAAUACAGAGGUCUCAAGCGUUGUUCGGAAUCACUGGGCGUAAAGUGUGCGUAGGCUGUUUCGUAAGUCGUGGGUGAAAGGCGCGGGCUCAACCCGCGGACGGCACAUGAUACUGGGAGACUAGAGUAAUGGAGGGGGAACCGGAAUUCUCGGUGUAGCAGUGAAAUGCGUAGAUAUCGAGAGGAACACUCGUGGCGGAGGCGGGUUCCUGGACAUUAACUGACGCUGAGGCACGAAGGCCAGGGGAGCGAAAGGGAUUAGAUACCCCUGUAGUC